CCCAAUGUGAACGUUACCAAACUGUUGCCUCGGCGGGAUCUCUGCCCCGGGUGCGUCGCAGCCCCGGACCAAGGCGCCCGCCGGAGGACCAACCAAAACUCUUAUUGUAUACCCCCUCGCGGGUUUUUUUAUAAUCUGAGCCUUCUCGGCGCCUCUCGUAGGCGUUUCGAAAAUGAAUCAAAACUUUCAACAACGGAUCUCUUGGUUCUGGCAUCGAUGAAGAACGCAGCGAAAUGCGAUAAGUAAUGUGAAUUGCAGAAUUCAGUGAAUCAUCGAAUCUUUGAACGCACAUUGCGCCCGCCAGUAUUCUGGCGGGCAUGCCUGUCCGAGCGUCAUUUCAACCCUCGAACCCCUCCGGGGGGUCGGCGUUGGGGAUCGGCCCUCCCUUAGCGGGUGGCCGUCUCCGAAAUACAGUGGCGGUCUCGCCGCAGCCUCUCCUGCGCAGUAGUUUGCACACUCGCAUCGGGAGCGCGGCGCGUCCACAGCCGUUAAACACCCAACUUCUGAAAUGUUGACCUCGGAUCAGGUAGGAAUACCCGCUGAACUUAAGCAUAUCA
rnacentral:rRNA from 1 species